AGUGAACGCUGGCGGUAGGCCUAACACAUGCAAGUCGAACGGCAGCACAGAGGAGCUUGCUCCUUGGGUGGCGAGUGGCGGACGGGUGAGGAAUACAUCGGAAUCUACUCUGUCGUGGGGGAUAACGUAGGGAAACUUACGCUAAUACCGCAUACGACCUACGGGUGAAAGCAGGGGAUCUUCGGACCUUGCGCGAUUGAAUGAGCCGAUGUCGGAUUAGCUAGUUGGCGGGGUAAAGGCCCACCAAGGCGACGAUCCGUAGCUGGUCUGAGAGGAUGAUGAGCCAGACUGGAACUGAGACACGGUCCAGACGCCUACGGGAGGCAGCAGGGGGGAAUAUUGGACAAUGGGCGCAAGCCUGAUCCAGCCAUACCGCGUGGGUGAAGAAGGCCUUCGGGUUGUAAAGCCCUUUUGUUGGGAAAGAAGUCCAUCUGGUUAAUACCCGGGUGGGAUGACGGUACCCAAAGAAUAAGCACCGGCUAACUUCGUGCCAGCCGCGGCAGUAA
rnacentral:rRNA from 1 species